AAGUAGAGAAGUCUAUCAACAGGUUCCUGGACGGGAAGUGGUUUAAAAUGGUGGACGCUGGAAGAUUAACUCUAGGAGUUAAAUUUGUUGGGGAGCUAGAGGAUUGGAUUAAUGAGGCGUUGGGAGGUGAGGUGUCGAAGUGUAAGAUGUGCAGGAAGAUUGCUAUCAGAGGACUUGAGUGUCAGUGUCAACUAAUUUAUCACAGGGAUGUGACGAGGUGGUGGACACUUCUGUAACAGUUUAUCCUCAAGAGACUGGAGCGCCGAAAAAUCAGAAGAGGAAAAGAGAGGAAAACUUAUCUGAAGGCAGG